rnacentral:lncRNA from 1 species
GAGUGUGGAGGCAGGGUGGGCAGGCACAGAAAUGCAGCCCCUCCUCACCCUCAGCAGCCCUGCAUUUUUUCCCAUGACAUUUCAUGCUCUUAAAACUACCCCACCCCAAUCACCUACUGCUCCUCACUUACUGACUGGGACACCUACAUGUAGCACAGGGACUACCAGAAAAUAAGGGGGAACAGCUCAUGAACAAGUUACCAGGAGAUAAGUACCUGGCUACAGAAGUUACCAGCCACAACAGCUUGGAAUGCUGCAGCAAGAGGAUUUUGUUCAACAGACUUCAGAUGUUCUUCAUAUUCCCAUCUUACAAAGCUUCCGUGGAUAAAAAUACAAGUAGAAUAUUAGAAGAAACCGAUCAUUA